UUUAUACGACCGCAAAAAAAUUUUUGUGGUCGUAUAUUGGUAUGACGUUGGCGUCGUCGUCGUCGUCGUCGUCCAGCGUCGUCGUCCGAAUACACAUUAGUUUUCGCACUCUAACUUUAGUUUAAGUGAAUGGAUCUCAAUGAAAUUUUACCAUAAGGUUCAAUACCACAAAAGGAAGGUGGGGAUUGAUUUUGGGGGUUAUGGUACUAACAGUUAAGGAAUUAGGGGCCAAAAAGGGGCCAAAAAUAAGCAUUUUUGUAACUUCCAGACAUAACUUGUGUGUAAGUAUAUGGAUCUCUCUGACAUUGUACCACAAGGUUCCAUAUCACAAAGGGAAUGCUGGGAUUGAUUUUGGGGGUAAUUGCCUCCAAAUUUUAGGAAUUAGGGGCCAAAAAGGGGCAAAAAACAAGCAUUUUUCUAGUUUCAUGACAAUAACUUGUGUGUUAGUGUAUGGAUCUCUCUGACAUUGUAUCACAAGAUUCCAUAUCACAAAGGGAAUACUGGGGUUGAUUUUUGGGGGUAAUUUCCUCCAAAUUUGGGGAAUUAGGGGCCAAAAAGGGGCAAAAAACAAGCAUUUUUAUACGACCGCAAAAAAAUUUUUGUGGUCGUAUAUUGGUAUGACGUUGGCGUCGUCGUCGUCGUCGUCGUCGUCGUCCGGCGUCGUCGUCCGAAUACACAUUAGUUUUCGCACUCUAACUUUAGUUUAAGUAAAUGGAUCUCAAUGAAAUUUUACCAUAAGGUUCAAUACCACAAAAGGAAGGUGGGGAUUGAUUUUGGGGGUUAUGGUACUAACAGUUAAGGAAUUAGGGGCCAAAAGGGGCCAAAAAUAAGCAUUUUUGUAACUUCCAGACAUAACUUGUGUGUAAGUGUAUGGAUCUCUCUGACAUUGUACCACAAGGUUCAAUAUCACAAAGGGAAUGCUGGGAUUGAUUUUGGGGGUAAUUGCCUCCAAAUUUUAGGAAUUGGGGGCCAAAAAGGGGCAAAAAACAAGCAUUUUUAUACGACCAUGACAAUAUCUUGUUUGUAAGUGUAUGGAUCUUUAUGAAAUUGUACUACAAGGUUCCAUAUCACAAAAGGAAUACUGGGAUUGAUUUUUGGGGUAAUUUCCUCCAAAUUUUAGGAAUUAGGGGCCAAAAAGGGGCAAAAAACAAGCAUUUUUCUAGUUUCAUGACAAUAACUUGUUUGUAAGUAUAUGGAUCUUUAUGAAAUUGUACUACAAGGUUCCAUAUCACAAAGGGAAAGCUGGAAUUGAGUUUGGGGGUAAUUGCCCUAAACGUUUAGGAAUUUGGGGCCAAAAAGGGGCCAAAAAACAAGCAUUUUUCUAGUUUCCAGACAAUAACUUGUGUUCAAGUGUAUGAAUCUCUCUGAAAUUGUACUGCAAGGUACCAUACCACAAAGGGAAAGCUGGGAUUGAGUUUGGGGGUGAUGAAUCAUAAGGGGGUUCAAAAAAUUGGGGGGGAUUUUUUUUUCCUUUUUUUUCUUUAACAUUUUCCAUUUUAAAUUGGUUAUUUCUGAUUUAUAUAUAAAAGCAAAUAAUAAUGAUAUGGUUUGAAUAGGCAUACAUGUGAACCUCCCGACGGGAGUACAAUAAUCCCGUUUUCAGGGGUCUCCUCCCGACCUCCCGUUGAAGAGGAAAAAAUCCCGUGUAUGAAAUUUUUCAUGAAUGAAAAAUUUCUGCCCAACAUAUCAUCUCAGGCAUCUGGUGUAACUGACAUUACCUGAAGUUAUAUUUUACCUGUAAAUCAAUUAACAUGCAUAAUUAUAUGGCUUCACUUGUCAGCUUGGGUGUCAAACAUACAGGUAAUCAACGAUUUUUACCUCAGGCUAACUGCCGUUGUGUAACAAAAACUGUGUAUUUAUUGGGUUACUUCCCUUGAUUUAUCCUGUUUUAAGUUACUUUCCUUUUAAUAAUGAAAAUUUUUAAAAGAAUAUAAAUAAAAUAUAAAUUGAACAAAUAAUCAUAAAAGGAUGGUUAUUAAAUGAUUUUAAAUGUCUUAGGACAAAUAAAAAAAUAAUAAUUUGAAAAUUAUUUGAGGAUUCUAGACUUCCUUUUAAGGCUUAAAUUGAAAUUUAUAUAAUAACUAUGACCCUAAUUUUACAGAUAAAAUGAUUUUCUGAGUUUGCAAAUAAAAACUAUUUGCAAGAGAGAAAAAAAAAAUAAAAACUAUUUGCAGAUAGCUAAACAAAUGUUCUGGUUGCAAUGAUUGUUUUAUAGAAUAUGAAGUAAAAAAUUUAAAGAACAUACUGGAAAAAUACAAUGUUAGAUUGAACAUGUAGAAUAUAAAGAUGGAGAAACUUUAUAAGUACAAGGGUACUAUAAACAUAAUAAAUUGGAUGGAAAGUUGAAGAAAACACACUUUAAAAGACCAUUUUUACAGCACACGGUUACAUUUACAACAAAAUUAAUGUCGAUUAAAAACCUCCUGAUCUGAGUCCUAAUCUCCUGACCAAAAUUUCCCAAUCUCCUGAUCUGAGUUUCACAGUCCAUCACAUGUAUGAAUAGGUAAAUUAAAAAAUUAUAAGUUCUUAGACCACUUUCAUUCUGUGUCAGAAACCUAUGCUGUGUCAAAUAUUUAAUUACAAUCCAAAUUCAGUGCUGUAUCAAGCUUGAAUGUUGUGUCCAUACUUGCCCCAACUGUUCAGGGUUUGACCUCUGCGGUCGUAUCAAGCUGCGCCCCAGCGGAGCAUUUUAUUAUAACUUGCCAAAAGAAAAUAUGUUCUCCUGUGCUGUACCAAAUACUUAUUUCCUUUACUGUUAUUAAUGUAUCAGGUUGUCAACCAGUCAAUUAUUGUCUUUUAUAUCAUUUGGUAAGUCUUUUUUAAGUAACAUGUGGCACAACAGUGAUUUUCAUAAAUAUUCAAAAAUUGAAUUACUCUAGUGUUAUCUUUUCAUAUGAAUACAUAUCAAAGUCAACAAAAAUGGUUACAUAAAACAAUCACUUAAAGGAUUACAGGUCUCUUCUCAACAACUCUAAAAGGGGGGUUUUUGAUGAUACAUUAUUUUUGAUGCAUAGUACAAGAAACAAUACUGUAAACAUGUCAAUUUUCUCACAUGGGUUAUUUUCACUUAUUUUCACUUAUUUCAUGUUCACAUUAUAUGUGUGAAAAUAUCCCCUGUAGGAAUGAUUUUUAGAGAGCAAUAACCUUAGAUGUGAAGGUCAAAGUUAUAUUUGAUGUGCAAAUUAACCCCAGCUGGAAAAGUUAAUGCAUGAAAAUUGCAAAAAAUAACAAACCAUGUAAAUAUCUUCUUUUACGGUACUUUUUUAUGUUUGCCUCAACCAAAUGUUUAUGCGACACUUUUUAACAUUCUUGAGUUAUGUCCCUUUAUAAACAUAAAAAUUGCUGAAUUUUUCGUUUCCAUUCUCUAACUUUAGUUUGUCUCAACCAAAUGUUAUAAAACUUAUACACAACCGUUCUAGAGUUAUGCGUGUUUACAAAUAGAAAAAUUGCUGAAUUUUUAGUUUCUGUUCUCUACUUAAGUUAGCCUCAACCAAAUGUUAUGAGACUUACACACAAUGCUUAUUACCACAAAACUCAGAUCAAGUUCAAAUUUGGGUAGCGUCAGUUUUACCGUUCUUCAGUUAUGUCCCUUUAUAACUAUAUGAUAUGCAAGAGGGGGCAUCAUCUCUGUCCACAUGUGGACACUAUCCACAUUUAUUUUGUGAUUUAAAAAAGGCAACCUUAUAUAGAGUGCAUGACUGACCUAUCAACUAUAUAAAUUCAGUUUUUAUACGACCGCAAAAAAAUUUUGUGGUCGUAUAUUGGUAUGACGUUGGCGUCGUCGUCGUCGUAGUCGUCGUCUUCCGGCGUCGUCGUCCGAAUACAUAUUGGUUUUCGCACUCUAACUUUAGUUUAAGUGAAUGGAUCUUUUUGAAAUUUGACCAUAAGGUUAAAUACCACAAAAGGAAGGUUGGGAUUGAUUUUGGGGGUUAUGGUACCAACAGUUAAGGAAUUAGGGGCCAAAAAGGGGCCAAAAAUUAGCAUUUUCUAGUUUCCAGACAAUAACUGUGGAACGGUGUAUGGAUCUCUCUGAAAUUAUACUACAAGUUUCCAUACCACAAAGGGAUGGUUAGGAUUUGCUUUGGGGGGUUAUGGCUCAAACCGUUUAGGAAUUAGGGGCAAAAAAGGGGGAAAAACAAGGUUGUCCUGGUUAAUGGACAAAUACUUUAGUACAAAACAUAAUUUAAAGCAGUGUAAGGGAGAUAAAUCAAAUACAUCAUUGAAAUUAUCUCCCUUACACUGCUUUUAAAUUAUGUAUAAAGUAAUGGUUAAUGAACAAUAAAGAUAAUCUAAAACAGUGUAAGGGAGGUAAUCCAAAUACAACGUUUUGGUUACUUCCCUUACACUGCUUUUAAAUUAUGUUUAAAGAAAUGCAUAUUUAUAAAGGAAGACCAGUAAAGAUAUCUGCAAAUGUUUUCAUCUUUUUUUUUUACAAAAAAAUCCAUAUGAAAGAUUUGACACUAUAUUUUUAUUUUUAAUUCUAUUAUAAAAUAGAUUAAGUUAGCACUAUGGUAAAUUUAAAUGGGUAAUUAUGGUUGCCAACUCCAUUGGAAAUUUGAAUUGAGAUUAUGACCAUAUCUUGAGGGAAAGAAUUUUUUUGGGGGAAA